rnacentral:rRNA from 1 species
AUUGAACGCUGGCGGCAGGCCUAACACAUGCAAGUCGAACGAGUGGCGGACGGGUGAGUAAUGUCUGGGAAACUGCCCGAUGGAGGGGGAUAACUACUGGAAACGGUAGCUAAUACCGCAUACCAUCGGAUGUGCCCAGAUGGGAUUAGCUAGUAGGUGGGGUAACGGCUCACCUAGGCGACGAUCCCUCGCUGGUCGGAGAGGAUGACCAGCCAGACUGGAACUGAGACACGGUCCAGACUCCUACGGGAGGCAGCAGUGGGGAAUAUUGCACAAGGGGCGCAAGCCUGAUGCAGCGAUGCAGCGUGUAUGAAGAAGGCCUUAGGGUUGUAAAGUACUUUCAGCGAGGAGGCGUUACUCGCAGAAGAAGCACCGGCUAACUCCGUGCCAGCAGACGUGGUAAUUC